UACGUAGGGUGCAAGCGUUGUCCGGAAUUAUUGGGCGUAAAGGGCGCGUAGGCGGUGCUGUAAGUCUGUAGUGAAAUCUCUGGGCUCAACUCAGAGUCUGCUAUAGAAACUGCAGUGCUGGAGUGUGGGAGAGGUGAGUGGAAUUCCCGGUGUAGCGGUGAAAUGCGUAGAUAUCAGGAGGAACACCUGUGGCGAAAGCGGCUCACUGGACCAUAACUGACGCUGAUGCACGAAAGCUAGGGGAGCAAACAGG
rnacentral:rRNA from 1 species